AACGCACCUUGCACCCUUUGGUAUUCCGAAGGGUAUGCCUGUUUGAGUGUCAUUAAAUUCUCAACUUCUAAGAUUUUAUUAUCUUUGAAGCUUGGACUAUGGAGGUUAUUGCAGGCGAUUAACAUUGUCAGCUCCUCUUAAAUGCAUUAGCGGAACUCUCAAGUACCAGCUUUGGUUUGAUAAGUAUAUCUAUGCCGUCGCUGUGAACUUUUAUGUUCAGCUUCUAAUGGUCUUCGGACUGUCUCUUAUGAGGCAUACACUUUAAGCUUGACCUCAAAUCAGGUAGGACUACCCGCUGAACUUAA
rnacentral:misc_RNA from 1 species